GACGAACGCUGGCGGCAUGCCUAAUACAUGCAAGUCGAGCGAACAGAUGAAGUGCUUGCACUUCUGACGUUAGCGGCGAACGGGUGAGUAACACGUAAGGAAUCUACCUAUAAGCGGGGGAUAACAUUCGGAAACGGGUGCUAAUACCGCAUAAUAUCUUCUUCCGCAUGGAAGAAGAUUGAAAGACGGCUCUGCUGUCACUUAUAGAUGACCUUGCGGUGCAUUAGUUAGUUGGUGGGGUAACGGCCUACCAAGACGAUGAUGCAUAGCCGACCUGAGAGGGUGAUAGGCCACAUGGGUACUGAGACACGGCCCAAACUCCUACGGGAGUCAGCAGUAGGGAAUCUUCCGCAAUGGGCGAAAGCCUGACGGAGCAAUGCCGCGUGAGUGAAGAAGGCCUUCGGGUCGUAAAACUCUGUUAUAAGAGAAGAACAAAUUGUAGAGUAACUGCUACAGUCUUGACGGUAUCUUAUCAGAAAGCCACGGCUAACUACGUGCCAGCAGCCGCGGUAA
rnacentral:rRNA from 1 species